rnacentral:lncRNA from 1 species
AUUAUUGAAAAGAAUUAAAAGAAUAUUUCAGAAUUGGGUCUCUGUAUAAAACCAAAUUGUAAUAUACUUUUGAAUAAGUUUGUUCAACUAGGAGAAUUUAUUUGAUUUGUUCUAUAUGGUGAGUUGUAAGAACAGAAAAUGUUUUAACGUCGUUUCUGCAAAGUUUCUUGGUACCAUCAGUUUUCAUUAUAUAUCAAGACAAAGAUGUAAGAAAUUCCUGGUGCUGCCCCAAUUGAAUAAGGCCAAAAACAAAGUAGAAGUGACCCCAACAAUAUAUUAUUAUUCGGAGAGGGCGAAGUCAAAAGCAACCACUAACUAUGUUGUCAUGUUCUCCUUCUUCCCUAAGUAAAUUGACUAACAUGCUACAUAAUACAUUAUAUAAAUAUCAUUAAUUUCAAUUUUGCUUUUUCCCUCUUAUGUUGAGUUCAAAUGUCAUUUGUUAUACAAAUAUUUUCAUGUUUAGGUGGAUGAUUUCUUAAUCUGAAUUAGAUCGAAUCAUAAAAUGCUUUAAUAAUAAAUCACGAUGAACAACUUUGUGGAGAGUCUAUACUAAAACUUACCAUAGAAGAUGUUUAAUUAGUGGUUUGUUUCUCUGAUCAACCCAUUUCAAGACAAACAAAACAAUUUAUAACAAUUAGAAUUUCAUUUGUUUACAACACAAAGAAACAACACUCUUUGUCUAUAUGAAUCACUAUAAACUCUUCAAGAACGGUGUCUAUUACAAAAAAGUUGAAUAACAUAGUUCUGAAAGUUCUAUGUUUCUUCUUUUAACAAACAUAGUAGAUAAUUGAAGGAUGUCUGAGAAGAAAUUGGUGAGAAUAUAUCCACUACAAGCGUGAGGGGUAAUGGUUAACAGGGAAAUAAGGAACAACGAGUGGAGGUUCCUUUGAUUUUGGUUUACUCUUUGGUUUCUGUGAAGAAGGAGAUUUGAACUGAGAUGAUCUUAGGGCAAAGUCAGAAACUUGAGCUGAUGAAGACGAAGCAAAGCAACUGAAGAAAGAUGAUAUGAGAGGCAUAUUUACUUUCCUUGGAGGGUUGAUGCAAUGUUGAAUGGUGCUGAGUGAUGAUAUAAUUGAGGAAAACUGGAAUAUUUAUAGCAUAUUAUUUAUGAUAAGUAGGAAGGUUCCAUCUUAGUUCAUUUUGCUUUGGAAACAAGGAUAACAUGGACCACAUGCUAGAAAAAUACAAGUCUUUGUGGCUGCUUUGUUUUUUAUCCUCACCAAAUACAGAUAUUUUGUAUAUAUAAUUAUUGUUUUGUAUUAUCAUUACACAUAAUAAAGACAGAAAAGAUAAUCAAGAG